AACGAACGCUGGCGGCAGGCCUAACACAUGCAAGUCGAGCGAGAUCUUCGGGUCUAGCGGCGGACGGGUGAGUAACGCGUGGGAAUAUGCCUCUUGGUACGGAAUAGCCUCGGGAAACUGGGAGUAAUACCGUAUGUGCCCUUUGGGGGAAAGAUUUAUCGCCAAGAGAUUAGCCCGCGUUGGAUUAGGUAGUUGGUGGGGUAAUGGCCUACCAAGCCGACGAUCCAUAGCUGGUUUGAGAGGAUGAUCAGCCACACUGGGACUGAGACACGGCCCAGACUCCUACGGGAGGCAGCAGUGGGGAAUCUUAGACAAUGGGGGCAACCCUGAUGUAGCCAUGCCGCGUGAGUGAUGAAGGCCUUAGGGUUGUAAAGCUCUUUCAGCUGGGAAGAUAAUGACGGUACCAGCAGAAGAAGCCCCGGCUAACUCCGUG
rnacentral:rRNA from 1 species